AUUCACCCAUACGUGAAUGAGAUUCACAUUGAGGUGAAUUUUAUUCACUCAUACGUGAAUUUCAAUUACUUUUAUGUGGAUUGCAUUUACGUAUGGGUGAAUAAAAUUCACAUAUAGGUGAAUACAAUUCACGUAUGAGUGAAUAGCAUUCACCUAAAUGUGAAUCUCAUUCACGCAUGGGUGAAU
rnacentral:miRNA from 1 species